rnacentral:rRNA from 1 species
UAUGCAUGCAAGUCGAGCGAAGCUUUUCAGUAGUUUACUACAGAAAAUGACUGAGCGGCGAACGGGUGAGUAACGCGUGAGCAAUCUACCUUAGUUACUGGGAUAGCCCGAGGAAACUCGGAUUAAUACCGGAUAAUCUUAUUACAUCACAUGAUAUUUUAAGUAAAGGUCAGCCGAACUAAGAUGAGCUCGCGUUCUAUCAGCUUGUUGGUGGGGUAAAAGCCUACCAAGGCUACGACGGAUAGCUGGUCUGAGAGGACGAUCAGCCACACUGGGACUGAGACACGGCCCAGACUCCUACGGGAGGCUGCAGCAGGGAAUAUUGCGCAAUGAGCGAAAGCUUGACGCAGCGACACCGCGUGUGGGAUGACGGUUCUAGGAUUGUAAACCACUUUCAGGAGGGAAGAAAAUGACGGUACCUCCACAAGAAGCCCCGGCCAACUACGUGCCAGCAGCCGCGGUAAUACGUAGGGGGCGAGCGUUGUCCGGAUUUAUUGGGCGUAAAGAGCUCGUAGGCGGUUCAACAAGUCGGUCGUGAAAGUUCAGGGCUUAACCCUGAAAUGUCGAUCGAUACUGUUGUGACUAGGAUAUGGUAGAGGUGAGUGGAAUUCCGAGUGUAGCGGUGAAAUGCGUAGAUAUUCGGAGGAACACCAAUAGCGAAGGCAGCUCACUGGACCACUAUCGACGCUGAGGAGCGAAAGCUAGGGGAGCAAACAGGAUUAGAUACCCUGGUAGUCCUAGCUGUAAACGAUGGAUACUAGAUGUAGGAAUUGGAUUGACGAUUUCUGUAUCGUAGCUAACGCGUUAAGUAUCCCGCCUGGGGAGUACGGUCGCAAGACUAAAACUCAAAGGAAUUGACGGGACCCCGCACAAGCGGCGGAGCAUGCGGCUUAAUUUCGAUGAUACCCGUAGAACCUUACCUGGACUAGGCAUAUAGGGGAAAAACUAUAGAAAUAUAGUG